rnacentral:rRNA from 1 species
UACAGAGGCCCCAAGCAUUACCCGGAAUCACUGGGCGUAAAGGGUGUGUAGGCGGUCGUAUUAGUCUUUUGUGAAAGCUCUCGGACUCAAUCCGGGAAACGCGAGAGAAACGGUACGACUACGAGGACGUAAGAGGUACAGGGAACUCAUGGUGUAGGGGUGAAAUCCGUUGAUAUCAUGGGGAACACCAAAUGCGAAGGCACUGUACUGGUACGCUCCUGACGCUGAAACACGGAAGCGUGGGAAUCGAACGGG